rnacentral:rRNA from 1 species
AAGUCGUAACAAGGUUUCCGUAGGUGAACCUGCGGAAGGAUCAUUACCGAGUUAGGGUGUCUCUUCAGGCGCCCGACCUCCCAACCCUUUGUCUAAUUUACCUUGUCGUUGCUUCGGCGGACCGGUUGACCGACUGGUCUUUGACCGCCGGGGGUGUUCACCCCUGGAGAGCGUCCGCCGACGGCCAACCACAAAACUCUUUGUACCAAACCAUGUCGUCUGAAUUUACUUGAUUACAAUCAAAAAAAAAAACUUUCAACAACGGAUCUCUUGGUUCUGGCAUCGAUGAAGAACGCAGCGAAAUGCGAUAAGUAAUGCGAAUUGCAGAAUUUCCGUGAGUCAUCGGAUCUUUGAACGCACAUUGCGCCCACUGGUAUUCCGGUGGGCAUGCCUGUUCGAGCGUCAUUAUCCUCCCUCAAACCUCGGGUUUGGUGUUGGGCUUACGUUUCUUGACCGAAACUGGCCUCAAAGAUAAUGACGGCGUCCGCGGGACCCUCGGUGCAACGAGCUUUUAGGAGCACGCGUCGAGUUUCAAGGGCCCUCGGCGCCGGUCGUACCCCAUAAAUUUUUACAAGGUUGACCUCGGAUCAGGUAGGAAUACCCGCUGAACUUAAGCAUAUCAAUAAGCGGAGGAAAAGAAACCAACAGGGAUUGCCUCAGUAACGGCGAGUGAAGCGGCAACAGCUCAAAUUUGAAAUCUGGCCUUACGGUCCGAGUUGUAAUUUGUAGAGGAUGUUUUGGGUACCGCCGCGGUUUAAANNCUUGGAACAGAAUGUCAGAGAGGGUGAGAGUCCCGUCUUGGAUUGCGGUAGGGCCUGUGUAAAACUCCUUCGAAGAGUCGACUUGUUUGGGAAUGCAGGUCAAAAUGGGAGGUAAAUUUCUUCUAAAGCUAAAUAUUGGCCAGAGACCGAUAGCGCACAAGUAGAGUGAUCGAAAGAUGAAAAGCACUUUGAAAAGAGAGUUAAACAGUAUGUGAAAUUGUUGAAAGGGAAGCGCUGGCAAUCAGACUCGUGCGCGGGGUUCCCCCCAGCUUCUGCUGGGGUCACUUCCCCGUGUCCGGGCCAUCAUCAGUUUCGGGGGCCGGUCAAAGGCUUUGGGAAUGUAUCUACUCCUUCGGGGGUAGACUUAUAGCCCAGGGUGUCAUGCGGCCACUCGGGACUGAGGAACGCGCUUCGGCGAGGAUGAUGGCGUAAUGGUUGUCAGCGACC